rnacentral:rRNA from 1 species
UACAGAGGUCCCGAGCGUUGUUCGGAUUCACUGGGCGUAAAGGGUGCGUAGGCGGUUCUGAAAGUCUGAUGUGAAAUCUCCAGGCCCAACCUGGAAAUGGCAUUAGAAACUACAGGGCUAGAGGCUUGGAGGGGGAACUGGAAUGCUCGGUGUAGCAGUGAAAUGCGUAGAGAUCGAGCGGAACACCAGUGGCGAAGGCGAGUUCCUGGACAAGUCCUGACGCUGAGGCACGAAAGCCGGGGGAGCAAACAGG